UUCCAGAUUCAUUGGUAGUAUGGCUUGA
rnacentral:sRNA from 1 species